GACGAACGCUGGCGGCGUGCUUAACACAUGCAAGUCGAACGGAGUGGCGAACGCGUGAGUAACACGUGGGUGAACUGCCUUGCACUACGGGAUAAGCUUGGGAAACUGGGUCUAAUACCGGAUAGUGCAAGAUGAGCUCGCGGCCUAUCGGCUUGUUGGUGGGGUAUUGGCCUACCACGGCGUCGACGGGUAGCCGGCCUGAGAGGGUGUACGGCCACAUUGGGACUAAGAUACGGCCCAGACUCCUACAGGAGGCAGCAGUGGGGAGUAUUGCACAAUGGUCGGAAGCCUAAUGCAGAGACGCCGCGUGGGGAAUGAAGGCCUUCGGGUUGUAAACUCCUUUCGACAGGGACGCGGUACCUGUAUAAGAAGCACCGGCUAACUACGUGCCAGCAGCCGCGGUAAUUC
rnacentral:rRNA from 1 species